rnacentral:lncRNA from 1 species
UUUGUAAUUAAAAAUUACAAUUCUUUAAAUAAGGGUAAAACUUUAAUUUGAAAUCAUUUACUCCCAAUUCAAGACAAAUUAAACACAUAAAUUGAAUUCUGAUUCAACUUUCAUACUCUCAUUCUAGUGUAAGUAAGCAAUCUACUCUCACCCCACUCCACACUCUCAAUCACAGGAUUCUCACUCAUCAAGAUUCCCACUUUAAUUCAAAAUGUAAACGCUACCUAAUUUCAGCCAAUGAAAGAGAUUUUUUCCAUCACUUUUCAUCUCAUGCACACUGAUGUUUUUAUUUAGUACUUAUCAGAUGAUACAACAUAUGAUGAGUUUGGCUCUAAUAUCAUAUAAAAGCUCGCGAUCUUACAUUAGUUCUUAAAAUCUACUUUUCUAACCUUUUUCUAAAAACAUUACCCUUUUUCUUUUUAUUAUUAUCUUUAAACUAAUAAAAAAUUUAUUGCAAUAUUUUCUAUUAUUUUUCCAAUAAGAUUUCUUAUAAUUAUUCCUAUAUUUGUUAUGUCUUUUGCCUGAUAUUCGACAUCCCAAUUCCUAAGUGAAUUUCAUGCAUAUCUAUACACAUUUCUCUAAAUUAAUAUUUAAUUGAUUUUGCCCCUAAUAUUUUUUUUUCUUCGUAGUAUUCUUUCAUUCCAUCUUUAACAUAUUCUGUAAUUGGCAAUAAAGUUUCAUAAUAAUUAAAUUUUUCUAUACUCUCUAUUUAGGAAUUAUUCUCAACAUGUUCAUUCAAUAAAGUACCCCACACUAACUAAUAAAGUAUAGUCAAUUGGGUUGAUAAUAAGGAUAGAUAAUUCUACCUAAUAGGUUAGUCUUUUAGUUAAAUACUUAGAAAUCUUAGGCCCGACUCAAACAAGUGGUGUUAGAACCAAACAUUAAUAGUCGGAAUGUAGUGAUAGAACAACUCAGAUUUAUCAGAUGAAAUAACAAGAGUCUGAUGGUAGUUAAUUUCUUCACUAGGGGUAUGUUGAAUUGUAUGUGUCCCACAUUAACAAAUAAAGGAGAGUCAAUUAAGCUUGCAAGUAAGAUAAGUCUUUCCACCUAAUAGAUUAUUCUUUUGAGUGGGAUACACAAAAAUGUUAGGCAUAGCACCCAACAAACUACAAUGCUGAGAGUGUUUUUUCAUUAUUUCUGUCGCUUUACGACCAUUAAUUACAAUCUGAAACUCCAAGGAACCAUUAUUUCUGUCGUCUUUGUCCAGAGAACUUUUUUAUUCAAACUUUUCCAGCUUCAAACGGAUGUUUUAUCAUACAACCAUAAACAAGAAAAGUUAAAAAGAAGAAUAAAAAAGAAACUUGACUACGUCAGCCACGUCCAUAAUUUCCUUGAUUCCAAUUGGAUGAUUAUAGACCGUUCAAAUUCCACAUCUGCCAUGUGUUAUAUAAUGAUCAGGCUUUUGCUUGCUACAAAAAAUUUCACGCAGAUGCAUGAUUGCAUGCUUGAUCCAAAAUAGCACAAAGUGCCAACUUAUUGUUUGUUUAUAUAUAUAUUAUGCAUGCAUAAGUAUGAUGAGGUGUUGUUGUAUCUCGAAUAUGCCAUUAGAGGCAUUAUUAUUAGUUACAUGUCAUGUCUAUUUUAUAAAAAGCUUGCUAACGUGGAAAUUAUGAUAGGUGGCAAGUCAUCAGAGGUUAUGACCAUUGGCCACUUUGAAUUUGUUUUGAGCUUUCUGACUCAUCCCACUUAUACAAGAGAUGUACCUAAACGUAGCGUUUGCCGAGAAAUUUUAAUUUUUCUUCUUUGUUUUCUUGGAAAAUGAUCUAUUUCACAAGUUCAAAUAGGCAAAAACACCAUAAUUUGACGAUUAAUUCUCCAAAAAUACUUUAUUGUUCAUAUAUAUUAAUUUUUUCACAUGUGCAUGUAUUUUGAUUAUUGCUAAUACAUAUUGUCAUAGUCUUUAUUAAUUUGUGUCAUAUGUGUGAAUGGAAUUGAUUAAGAAUAUCUUAACUUUUAAGAAUUUAAUUGUAACUCGUGAUUAUGAAUAGAUUAAUAUGAUGGAUAUAGGAAAAUUAUCAGCCAUCCACCUAAAAAUUUAUCUGUUAGCAAAAAAUUGAAUUUGUAUCAAUUGUCUAUCAAAAAGACAGAAUUGCCCUUACAAAAUAAUUAUAUUUAUAAGUUGUGUUUGCUUUUAUUUGUCAAUAAAGGUAAUUAUAUCAUUUUGGUAUAUGGUUGACACAAAUCACAUAUAUUGGGUGCAAGAAUUGAAUAAAUUAAAACUUCGACAAUAUUUUUAUAAUAGAGUAAACUUCAAGUGGACAACUAAUAAUUUCCCUAGAAUAUAUCGUAAUAAUAUUGUAACAAGUAUCACAACAGCAGAAACCGAGUCAGCUGUAACCCACAUGUACAAGCAAGAUUUGAUCCUUAUACCUCUUAUACUACCCGAAGAGAUUUUAUCAAUUAAUUAAACUAACUAUUGCUCACGAUAUAUAUCUUAAAUUGGUUGUUACACAAAUAAGUAAUUACAAGAGUAUUUCUAAUUUUAAAAUAUUAAUUUAAAAAAUAGUAACUGAGAUUUCAUUUCGACCCAAGUUCUUAUCCAUUUUGUUGUCGUUCUUAAAUGGGAAUCACAACAAAAAAAAUCCAAUUGAGUUCUCACGUCUUGCUAACCCACCAUUAUUCUUUUCAAGUUUGUAUCAUGCCAUUGUUAGCCCGACAAAUUUUAAUUUUAUCUUUAGUUUUCUUUGAAUUCCGCUCCAAACUCAUUUUUUUUGUUACAUGUUUAUUAAUGAAUAGUUGAUUAAAGGUUUAAUAUACUUUUUUCAAGUAAAGUUCAGAUAAAGAAAGAAUUUGUGUUGAUUAAAUGUAUCCCCACCAAUUGAGCAAAGAGCGAAAGAGAAAGAAAGCCAGUUAAUUUCCAAUAGGAAUUGCAUGUGCAAGCCCUGAAUUAUUUCAUGUCUUCUCGUUGGAUUGAUUUUUGCUCUCAUAGUCUAAGUGUGCCUUUGGGAUUGAGGUUCGACAGUUGUAUCUUAAAAGCUAUAAUAUUAAAGUGUUUAGUAAAUACUAAUUGUUGUAAUUUGAAAGAUAUGUUAAGAUAAUUUUUUACUUAUAUAAUAAAAAAUUUAUUAUAUUUUUAAUAAUUUUAUCAAAAUUAUUAUUUAAAAUUUUUAUUUAUUAUAUAUUAUUAAUUUUUAUUUAAUAAUUAUAAUUUUUUUUUCACAAUAAUUAUAACUUAAAAUAUACAGUAUCUCAAAUCUCAAAUCUCAUAUGUACUGUAAGACUCUAAACCUCGAUGAUGUUUUUCCCAUAUAAUUGGGGAUAGAGAGGGGUAAUAACAAGCAGUAGCAUAUAAUAAAAUUGGACAGUUGAGCAAAGAGCCUAAUGGUCUUUCCAUUGCUGGUUCCAUUUCUUGUCUCGGGGCCCACCACGAAUCGUUUGACCCACAGUGUUUGGAUUGGAGCCGUCCUGCCAAUUGUUAUUGAGAGAAGCAGCCUACUCUUGGGACAUGCUUGGGAAGUGUCAAAUCAGAUUCAUUUAAUUAAUAAUAACAUGUAAUCUUGCCCCCCGUGGAUAGAUGGAACAAACUUCAUUGGCCCACUUCAGCUUUUCCAAACAAACUCUCACCGAGAAUCUUCGAAUUGAUCUUUGCUUAGCUAAGGUAAAUAGAAGGGUCAAAAAAAUAAAUUAU